rnacentral:rRNA from 1 species
GCACGCCGCGGUGAAUACGUUCCCGGGCCUUGUACACACCGCCCGUCACACCACGAGAGUUUGUAACACCCGAAGUCGGUGAGGUAACCGUAAGGAGCCAGCCGCCUAAGGUGGGAUAGAUGAUUGGGGUGAAGUCGUAACAAGGUAGCCGUAUCGGAAGGUGCGGCUGGAUCACCUCCUUUCUAAGGA